GACGAACGCUGGCGGCGUGCUUAACACAUGCAAGUCGAACGGAAAGGCCCUGCUUUUGUGGGGUGCUCGAGUGGCGAACGGGUGACUAACACGUGAGUAACCUGCCCUUGACUUUGGGAUAACUUCAGGAAACUGGGGCUAAUACCGGAUAGGAGCUCCUGCUGCAUGGUGGGGGUUGGAAAGUUUCGGCGGUUGGGGAUGGACUCGCGGCUUAUCAGCUUGUUGGUGGGGUAGUGGCUUACCAAGGCUUUGACGGGUAGCCGGCCUGAGAGGGUGACCGGCCACAUUGGGACUGAGAUACGGCCCUGACUCCUACGGGAGGCAGCAGUGGGGAAUAUUGCACAAUGGGCGGAAGCCUGAUGCAGCAACGCCGCGUGCGGGAUGACGGCCUUCGGGUUGUAAACCGCUUUCGCCUGUGACGAAGCGUGAGUGACGGUAAUGGGUAAAGAAGCACCGGCUAACUACGUG
rnacentral:rRNA from 1 species